GCCUAGUUAGCUUGGUUGGUAUUGCGUCUGCCUUGUAAGCGCUAGGUCGCGGGUUCGAUUCCCGCCUCGGGCG
rnacentral:tRNA from 1 species